GAAUUAUAAAAGAGGCAAACUUCUACUCAUUGUCACUGGCGUCAUCCUUAAGAUAACCCAAUGGUGUUAGUGCUUGAGUUGACUGGGCUGAUCUGACUAGCUAGGGAAGGUUCCCUACCUCCCUCAUGGCUCCAUGCACAUCCUUUCUGAAUCUUCCCAUUUGGUUGAAGAAUUCUACCUUCCCUGAUAGAGGAGGACCAUUGUUUGUCAAGAGUAUAUGAAUAGCUGUCUUCCUCUUCUAGGAUUUCCAAGAUCCUCUCUGGAUGGGAGUACUUGUUUGUAUCUUCACUGUGCUCCUCAGAAGAGAGAGAGAGAGAGAGAGACAGACAGAGAGA
rnacentral:sRNA from 1 species